GAGCUACAGCACGCAAUUAAGACCGAAAGCAUGCAGGGAAAAAGAAACGGAGGCGGAGGAGGCACUGGUCCUACUUAAUGGAUGCUUAGGCAGGCGAUUUGGUAACCAAUCCCGCAUAAAUCGGGAUGAGCUUCCGAUUCGGUAGGAGACCUGCUCGGUCACGUCGAAGAAGAAAGGGGAAGGAGAGGGCGCUGCCGCGUGGGCUCCACCGACUAGUGAGAGAAGGAGUGGGACCCGAUCGUCAGACAGAUAGAAGAGGGGAAGGCGCGCAGGCUGCCUGCGGGCGCUUGGGCCGGCUGAGCGUGCGACUGGGCCGCGGGGAGAGAGAAGGGAGAGGUUUUACUUUUCUUUCAUUUUUUUUUAUUUCAAAAGCCGUUUGAAAUUCAUUUAAAAAUCCUUUUGAAUCAUUUUGAAUUUUGAGUUUAAAUACACUCAUCACAGUAAAUAAAAUGCCUUGACAUGUAUGCUCAAACAUGUUUAUUUGUCCUAUGAUGAAUUUUAAUUUAAUGAAAAAUAUUAUCUCUCUAUAUUUCAUGAACACAAAAAUACAAAAUUAAAUCAUUUUCACUCUAUUUCCCAGAAAAUAAUUUUUAGGGUGUUACAGUGAGG
rnacentral:lncRNA from 1 species